rnacentral:rRNA from 1 species
GGUUAAGCGACUAAGCGUACACGGUGGAUGCCCUGGCAGUCAGAGGCGAUGAAGGACGUGCUAAUCUGCGAAAAGCGUCGGUAAGGUGAUAUGAACCGUUAUAACCGGCGAUGUCCGAAUGGGGAAACCCAGUGCAAUUCGUUG